GAUGAACGCUGGCGGCGUGCCUAAUACAUGCAAGUCGAGCGAACAGAUGAGGAGCUUGCUCCUCUGACGUUAGCGGCGGACGGGUGAGUAACACGUGGAUAACCUACCUAUAAGACUGGGAUAACUUCGGGAAACCGGAGCUAAUACCGGAUAAUAUAUUGAACCGCAUGGUUCAAUAGUGAAAGACGGUUUUGCUGUCACUUAUAGAUGGAUCCGCGCCGCAUUAGCUAGUUGGUAAGGUAACGGCUUACCAAGGCAGCGAUGCGUAGCCGACCUGAGAGGGUGAUCGGCCACACUGGAACUGAGACACGGUCCAGACUCCUACGGGAGGCAGCAGUAGGGAAUCUUCCGCAAUGGGCGAAAGCCUGACGGAGCAACGCCGCGUGAGUGAUGAAGGUCUUCGGAUCGUAAAACUCUGUUAUUAGGGAAGAACAAAUGUGUAAGUAACUAUGCACGUCUUGACGGUACCUAAUCAGAAAGCCACGGCUAACUACGU
rnacentral:rRNA from 1 species